AAAGUAUCUUUCACCUUUUUCUCUAUGGAAUCACCACGGUGGCUGGGACCUUGUACACAUACCCUGAAAACUGGAGGGCCAUCAAGGUCUCUUGCCACUCUCAGUUCAGCAGGGCUCAGGCCCACGUGCUCUCCAUACCACCCCACUUCCACUAUGGCCAAACCAACCGCACUCCUGAAUUUCUCUGUAAAUUCCCUGCUGGCAAGGUUCCAGCAUUUGAAGAUGACAACAGAUUCUGUGCGUCUGAGAGCAAUGCCAUUACCUACUAUGUGAGCAAUGAGGAGCUUUGGGGAACUAUUCCAGAGGCAGCAGCCCAGGUGGUUCAGUGGGUGAGCUUUGCUGAUAGCUACAUAGUGGCCCCAGCCAGUACCUGGGUGUUCUCCACCUUGGGCAUCAUGUACCACAACAAGCAAACCACAGAGAAUGUAAAGGAGGAGGUGAGGUGAAUUCUGGGGCUGCUAGAUGCUCACUUGAAGACAAGGACUUUUUUAUUGGGCGAACAUGUGAAACUGGCUAACAUUAUAGUUGUCUGCACCCUGUUGUGGCCCUAUAAACAGGUCCUGGAACCUUCUUUCUACCAGACUUUCCACAAUACCAACCACUGGUUCCCCACUUGCAUUAAUCAGCUCCAGUUCCAGGCUGUCUUGAAGGAGGUGAAACUCCAUAAGAAGAUGGCCUAGUUUGAUGCUAAAAAAGUUUGCAGAGAGCCAGCCUAAAAAAGACACUCACAAAAGGAGAAAGGUUCUUAGGAGGAGAAGCAGAAACUCCAGGCUGAACAGAAAGAGGAGAAAAAGGCAGCUGCUCCUGCUCCUGCUCCUGAUGAGGAGAUGGACUAAUGUGAACAGGUGCUGGCUGCUGAGCCAAAGGCCAAGUAACACUUUUUGCUCACUUGCCCAAGAGUACCUUUGUGCUGGAUGAGUUUAAGUGCAAGUAUUCCGAUGAGAAUAUCCUCUCUCUGGCACUGUUGUCUUUUGGGAAACACUUUGACAAGAAUGGCUGGUCCCUGUGGUACUCUGACGAGCUCGCUCAGGCCUUCAUGAGUUGCAACCUCAUCACUGGAAUGUUCCAGCGAUUGGACAAGCUGAGGAAGAAUGCCUUUGCCAGUGUUAUCCUCUUUGGAACUAACCAUUGAAGCUCCAUUUCUGGAGUCUGGGUCUCCAAGACCAGGAACUUCCCUUUCUACUGAGUCCAAAUUGGCAGGUAAACUACAAGUCAUAUAUAUGAAGGAAAAUGGAUCUGGCAGCAAGGAGAUCCAGAUGCUGGUUCGAGAGUACUUUUGCUGGGAGAGGGCCUUCCAGAAUGUGAGCAAAGCCUUCAAUCAGGGCAGGAUCUUCAAGUGA